rnacentral:rRNA from 1 species
GACAGAGGGUGCAAACGUUGCUCGGAAUUACUGGGCGUAAAGCGCGUGUAGGUGGUUUGGCAAGUCGGACGUGAAAGCCCAGGGCUCAACCCUGGAAGUGCAUUCGAUACUACCAAGCUGGAGUACUGAAGAGGAGAGCGGAAUUCCCGGUGUAGAGGUGAAAUUCGUAGAUAUCGGGAGGAACACCAGUGGCGAAGGCGGCGAUCUGGGAACAUACUGACGCUGAGGUGCGAAAGCGUGGGGAGCAAACAGG